rnacentral:rRNA from 1 species
AUACGGAGGGUGCAAGCGUUAAUCGGAAUUACUGGGCGUAAAGCGUGUGUAGGUGGAUUGUUAAGUCAGAUGUGAAAGCCCCGGGCUCAACCUGGGAAUUGCAUUUGAUACUGGCAAUCUAGAGUAUGGUAGAGGGUAGUGGAAUUCCCGGUGUAGCAGUGAAAUGCGUAGAUAUCGGGAGGAACAUCAGUGGCGAAGGCGACUACCUGGACCAAUACUGACACUCAGACACGAAAGCGUGGGUAGCGAACGGGAUUAGAUACCCCAGUAGUCC